UACGUAGGGGGGCUAGCGUUGUCCGGAAUCAUUGGGCGUAAAGAGCGUGUAGGCGGUCCGGUAAGUCCGUUGUGAAAGUCAAAGGCUCAACCUUUGAAAGCCGAUGGAUACUGCAGGGCUAGAGUCCGGAAGAGGCGAGUGGAAUUCCUGGUGUAGCGGUGGAAUGCGCAGAUAUCAGGAGGAACACCAUAGCGAAGGCAGCUCGCUGGGACGGUACUGACGCUAAGGCGCGAAAGCGUGGGGACGAACAGG
rnacentral:rRNA from 1 species